rnacentral:rRNA from 1 species
CACUCCUGCGGGAGGCAGCAGUAGGGAAUCUUCGGCAAUGGGGGCAACCCUGACCGAGCAACGCCGCGUGAGUGAAGAAGGUUUUCGGAUCGUAAAGCUCUGUUGUAAGUCAAGAACGAGUGUGAGAGUGGAAAGUUCACACUGUGACGGUAGCUUACCAGAAAGGGACGGCUAACUACGUGCCAGCAGCCGCGGUAAUACGUAGGUCCCGAGCGUUGUCCGGAUUUAUUGGGCGUAAAGCGAGCGCAGGCGGUUUGAUAAGUCUGAAGUUAAAGGCUGUGGCUCAACCAUAGUUCGCUUUGGAAACUGUCAAACUUGAGUGCAGAAGGGGAGAGUGGAAUUCCAUGUGUAGCGGUGAAAUGCGUAGAUAUAUGGAGGAACACCGGUGGCGAAAGCGGCUCUCUGGUCUGUAACUGACGCUGAGGCUCGAAAGCGUGGGGAGCGAACAGGAUUAGAAACCCGAGUAGUCC